rnacentral:misc_RNA from 1 species
GUUUAGUUUUGCAUGGGCCAAUUUGAUAUGCUUAUUUACCCCCAUUGUUAUAGUACCAGUGGCUUGUGUGGUGGGGCUUGGUCUGUUCAUGAGGGGCUUCCCACUGCUUGCUAACUGCGUGGAGAUUGGCCUGCCUAUGCUGAUUAUACUAGUCAUUUGCCAGUAUUUGAAGCAUCUCCAUCCAAGGAGCCGUCCUAUACUUGAAAGGUUUGGCUUGCUUUUCUGUGUUGGAAUUGUCUGGGCUUUUGCUGCUAUCCUUACUGUUGCUGGUGCCUACAACAAUGUUGGAGAACAAACUAAAAUGAGUUGUCGCACAGAUCGAUCCUUUCUUAUAUCAUCUGCUCCAUGGGUUCGAGUCCCAUACCCUUUUCAGUGGGGUGCUCCAAUAUUUAGAGCAAGCCAUGUCUUUGGGAUGAUGGGGGCAGCGCUUGUUUCAUCUGCAGAGGUUCAAUCACCAUGCCAGAAAAUUUUUUAAUGUUUUAUCAAUGUAGAUGCAUUUGAAAUUUUAACUAGUGGCACCUUCUAUUCAAAUUAGCUUAGUUUUAGUUAGACAUCACAUCAAAUAAUUUAUAGUUCUUUAUCAUGGAUAUAGUUUUGUCCGUAUUUCAUAUCUUUGAUGGAUCAUAGAAAUUUGCUACUUAAAUAUUUAUUAUCCUAACCAAUUUGUAAGCUUCUGAUGUAGUCCACUGGAACGUAUUUUGCCGCAGCAAGGCUUGCAGGUGCUACACACCCUCCAGCACAUGUUCUUACCAGAAGUAUUGGUCUGCAGGGUGUUGGCAUGCUGCUUGAAGGAAUCUUUGGUGCUGCUGUUGGCAACACUGCUUCUGUGUAAGUUUGGCCCUUUUUAGGUACCUCAAGUUAUAUUAAUGCCACAGAUUCUGCAGCUGCAUGCUUCUAUCAGGCAGCUAUUUCCAAUUUCCCAUUCCAUCACAAGUACAUUAUCUAGGCUAGCAGAGAUAACUGAUCUUAUCCUGGAUAAGGAGCUUCCCAUGGAAGAGCUUAACAAUGUAUGGCCAUUCAUGCAUUGUCCCUUUCUUUUGGAUUUCUCUUUGUCUGAGUUUUACCAUUUUCAGAGGACAAAGCAAGUGAGGUUGUCAGAGUUAGUGAAGGCACCCACUAUUUGUUCAUUGUGAAAUACUCUCAUGGGAAACAAAAACUGAAGUUAAUUAAAUGUAUUUGUGCAAAUUUCACAUGCUUGCAUGUGCACCUCUGAUAAUGGCACAGCUAUCUUAAGUGGCAUAAUUAUUUAUUUUUUUAUAUAUUUUACUUAGCAGAUUACUUCCCAACUCAAACGUUGAACCUUCAAUUUGCUAAGCUUUUUCUUUAUUCUUUUUUUGACUUUUGUGAUGUGAUGCCUUUGUGGCAAAUCUCUUUAGAAUUGGCUUGUCUUAUAGAUUGCUGCCGAAAGAUAUGAGAGCUAUUUAAUUUGAAAAGAAGUUUGAUUCUCAGUGGAGUGGUGAAUAUGCCAUAUAUUAAAAAACCAUACUGUUGAUCAAUGGUAUAUAAAUUUGUGUCAUCUGAUGGUGUUGCAGUGAAAAUGUUGGCCUUCUUGGACUUACACACAUUGGGAGCCGAAGAGUGGUGCAGAUAUCAACUGCUUUCAUGAUCUUUUUCUCCAUAUUUGGUUUGUUUCUGUGUAUCCCUCAUAGAUUCCAUAGAUAUUUGACCUGGGCUUGUAAUUUUAUGCGUGUUCUGAUCCUAUUUCAGGGAAGUUUGGUGCCUUGUUUGCGUCUAUUCCUCUGCCAAUAUUUGCUGCUAUAUAUUGUGUUCUAUUUGGAAUUGUUGCUGCUAUUGGGAUUUCCUUUAUACAGUUCUCUAACAAUAACUCCAUGAGAAACCAUUACAUCUUGGGCUUGUCUUUGUUCCUUGGGAUAUCAAUACCUCAAUAUUUUGUCAGCAACACCACCAUGGAAGGGCAUGGACCAGUUAAAACAGAUGGUGGAUGGGUGAGUUGCAUAAAAAAAGACAAUACUUUUCUCUUUGGACUAUCAUUUGAUUCCUUUUGGCUGUUCAUCCACUAGAGUCGUGGUCCUAUUCAGAUCCCUAUAUUUCUCAGUAGGAAACAAAGAGUAACCCACUGAAAAAAAAGCGUCUUCCCAUUGUGCCAGUUUAUCUGAUGUGCAUGUUUUGUAAAAAUCUGCAGUUCAAUGACAUAUUGAACACAAUUUUCUCAUCACCUCCGACCGUGGCAAUGAUCAUUGGAACAUUGCUGGAUAACACACUUGAUGCAAGGCAUACCAUUAAUGACAGAGGAAUUCCAUGGUGGAAACCUUUCCAGCACCACAAGGGGGAUGUUCGAACUGAGGAGUUUUACAGUCUUCCUCUCCGGAUAAACGAGUGGUUACCCUCUAGAUAUCUCUGAAGAAAAAAACUCACCUCGUUGUAUAGUAGGCAUACAAGCAGCAAAUUUCAUGUUCUUAAAUCUUAAGAAGACAAAGCUGUAACAAUUGGUGAAGGUUCGUUUUUUAUUUUAUUGUACUGAAAGGUUGAUCUCAAAAUCGUUUAUUUCAAAAUCGUUUAGACUGGAAAAAGAGAAUCUUUGAUUCCAAUAAAUUUUUGAGAUGAAGCUUGAUCCUGACGCGAUUUGCAAUUUAUCAGUUGUAAGAGAGAAUGAAAAUGUAAAUCAUUUUCAUUUUUCUUAGAAUAAAAAAAAUAAAUCUCGAAAGUCAAAUAAACUAUUGGAGAAAUUAGCUUCUCGAAUAGAAACCCAUGUGCCCACUUUCUGUGUAUC